AAAGGAGGAUGGAUUUGACUGCUUGCAACCUCGAGAAAAAAUGCUAAAACU
rnacentral:ncRNA from 1 species